rnacentral:lncRNA from 1 species
GGUGAAGGUCCUGGGCCGUGACAUGCCCGGGGAGCCUCGGCAGGGCAGCUCCUGGCAGAGGGUGUCCUUGGUCACAGCAGCUUCUGUGACCAAAUACUCUGGAGCAGCCCAAGAGCUGGGUGGGAGAGUGAACCCUGAGUAAAGGACCUGGGAGAGAAGAAGCAUGGCAGGCAUUGGAACAGUUGAAAAAGAACGGGAGGCAGAGGCCACAAAGCCUCAGGAAUCUUGGAUGAAGGAGGACUUCCAGGAGCUCAUCCAACAAAUGAAAGCUAUGCGUGAAGAUCUCCAGAAAGGGCAGGAAUCCACAAAGCAGGAUAUUCAGCUGCUCAUAGAAGGCCUGAAGAAGGAACUAGGAAAGACAGAGGAGGAAAAUCCCCCAAAGUCUCAGGGAUCUGGGAUGGAGGAGACCCUUGUGCAGCUCUGCAAAGAAAUGAAAGCUAUGCGUGAAGAUCUCCAGAAAGGGCAGGAAUCCACAAAUUGCCUUCUUCAGCUGCUCGUAGAAGACCUGAACAAGGAACAAGGUGAGCAGGGCCAUUCCCAAGCACUUCCAUCUCUCUGAACACCAAAACUGCUCUACAGGCAAACCACACUGAGAGCUUGUCCUGCACAGCUCCUCAAAGGGGCUGGAGAAGGACGGCCCUGACAUGGGGCACAGCUUUUGUGCUGCCUGACCCUGAAACAGCUCCCUGCUGAAGUGUUCUCUGCAGGUGGUCAUGGCCACACUUGUCUCCCUCAUCUCUGCAGAGAGUGUGUGCUGUGAGUUCUCUGAUCCCCUGAUCCUUGUUAAGGUUCCCCCCUUGCAGUCCUGUCAGCAUCUCUCUCCCUUUCCCCACUCCCCUUCUCCCACUCCCCACUCCUGGGGCCGUCUUGGGGCACAUGUGAUCCCAACCUUGUCUUCCUGUUGAAGAUCCACAAGGAGACCCAGCUCCAUGAGCACUGCAGGUGUCUCUGAG